rnacentral:rRNA from 1 species
CCUACGGGAGGCUGCAGUGGGGAAUAUUGGUCAAUGGGCGAGAGCCUGAACCAGCCAUCCCGCGUGAAGGAAGAAGGCGCUAUGCGUUGUAAACUUCUUUUUCAGGGGGAUAAAAUAUUGUAUGUAUACGAUACUGAAGGUACCCUGAGAAUAAGCAUCGGCUAACUCCGUGCCAGCAGCCGCGGUAAUACGGAGGAUGCGAGCGUUAUCCGGAUUUAUUGGGUUUAAAGGGUGCGUAGGCGGAAUAAUAAGUCAGUGGUGAAACCCUGCAGCUUAACUGUAGACUUGCCAUUGAUACUGUUUUUCUUGAGUAUGGUCAAGGCAGGCGGAAUGUGUAAUGUAGCGGUGAAAUGCUUAGAUAUUACACAGAACACCGAUAGCGAAGGCAGCUUGCUGGGCCGUUACUGACGCUGAUGCACGAAAGCGUGGGGAUCGAACAGGAUUAGAUACCCUAGUAGUC